AUACGGAGGGUGCGAGCGUUAAUCGGAAUUACUGGGCGUAAAGCGUACGUAGGCGGUUGGUUAAGUUAGAUGUGAAAGCCCCGGGCUUAACCUGGGAACUGCAUUUAAAACUGGCGAACUAGAGUUGAGUAGAGGGGAGUGGAAUUUCAGGUGUAGCGGUGAAAUGCGUAGAGAUCUGAAGGAACACCAGUGGCGAAGGCGACUCCCUGGACUCGAACUGACGCUGAGGUACGAAAGCGUGGGUAGCAAACGGCAUUAGAAACCCGGGUAGUCC
rnacentral:rRNA from 1 species